rnacentral:rRNA from 1 species
CGCAUCUGUGCAUGCAGCAUAUCAAUAAGCGGAGGAAAAGAAACUAACAAGGAUUCCCCUAGUAACGGCGAGUGAAGCGGGAAGAGCUCAAAUUUGAAAUCUUCAAGGGUUUACCUUUACGAAUUGUAGUUUAAAGAAGUGUUUUCUGUUGAGGUUUUGGUAAAAGUUCUUUGGAAUAGGACAUCAUAGAGGGUGAGAAUCCCGUAUUUGACCAUUACUUUCAACUGUGUGAUACACUUUCAAAGAGUCGGAUUGUUUGGGAAUGCAGUCCAAAAUGGGUGGUAAAUUUCAUCUAAAGCUAAAUAUUGGCGAGAGACCGAUAGCGAACAAGUACCGUGAGGGAAAGAUGAAAAGAACUUUGAAAAGAGAGUUAAACAGUACGUGAAAUUGUCAAAAGGGAAGCGUUUGACACCAGUGUUGUUUUCUCGAAAAUCAAUUAAAAAGAGUUGGAUUUUGUGUUGUAUUGACCUUAACAGCUUGCUUCACUCUUUUCCAGCUUUUUUUAAUGCACUUUUCGUUUAACAAGUCAACAUCAGUUUCUUUUGUUGUAAAAGGGUCAUUGGAAGGUGGCUUUCUCUUCGGAGAAAGUGUUUAUAGCCUUUGAUCUCUGCAAUCGGAGAGACUGAGGUCUGCAGCGUAGAUCCUUCGGGGUUAGAUACAUUUGUGCUAAGCUACAGCUUUUCAUAGACAACUUGUUGACUAUAUUUAGUCUUGUGACUUACCCGCUUAUGCUAUUUUACCUACGCUUAGGAUGUUGAUAUGCAUGACUGAUAU